rnacentral:tRNA from 1 species
GCGCUUAUAGCUCAGCUGGAUAGAGCAUUGCCCUCCGGAGGCAAAUGUCGUGGGUUCGAGUCCCCCUAAGCGCA